rnacentral:rRNA from 1 species
AAUGAACGCUGGCGGCAGGCCUAACACAUGCAAGUCGAACGAAGCCUUCGGGCUUAGUGGCGGACGGGUGAGUAACGCGUGGGAACAUACCCUUUGGUACGGAAUAGCCUCGGGAAACUGGGAGUAAUACCGUAUGUGCCCUUCGGGGGAAAGAUUUAUCGCCAAAGGAUUGGCCCGCGUUGGAUUAGGUAGUUGGUGGGGUAAUGGCCUACCAAGCCGACGAUCCAUAGCUGGUUUGAGAGGAUGAUCAGCCACACUGGGACUGAGACACGGCCCAGACUCCUACGGGAGGCAGCAGUGGGGAAUCUUAGACAAUGGGCGCAAGCCUGAUCUAGCCAUGCCGCGUGAUCGAUGAAGGCCUUAGGGUUGUAAAGAUCUUUCAGAUGGGAAGAUAAUGACGGUACCAUCAGAAGAAGCCCCGGCUAACUCCGUGCCAGCAGCCGCG